rnacentral:rRNA from 1 species
GUGAGGAAUUUUCCGCAAUGGGCGAAAGCCUGACGGAGCAAUGCCGCGUGAAGGAUGAAGGCCUAUGGGUUGUAAACUUCUUUUCUCAGAAAAGAAUUAUGACGGUAUCUGAGGAAUAAGCAUCGGCUAACUCUGUGCCAGCAGCCGCGGUAAGACAGAGGAUGCAAGCGUUAUCCGGAAUGAUUGGGCGUAAAGCGUCUGUAGGUUGUUUACAAAGUAUUCUGUCAAAGAUUAGGGCUUAACCCUAGAUAGGCAGAAUAAACUUUUAAGCUAGAGUUUGGUAGAGGCAGAGGGAAUUCCCGGUGGAGCGGUGAAAUGCGUAGAUAUCGGGAGGAACACCAAAGGCGAAGGCACUCUGCUGGGCCAAUACUAACACUGAGAGACGAAAGCGAGGGGAGCAAAUGGGAUUAGAAACCCCGGUAGUCC